rnacentral:lncRNA from 1 species
UAAUAUUCACUAAUGAACCAUCAACACUUUUCUUGUUAAAACGUUAGAGGUGGAUAUUUUUGUAUACUCAGAGAAGUGCACCAGAGCUUGCAACUCCUAAAAUAUGCCCCUUGGGAGGAUUUUGAGCUAAAGGCAACUGAGAACCAGGGAAGGUGAAAAAAAAAGGCUUCACCUCCCCUGGCAGAAAAGAGAGUACUAAUUUCCCCUUUAGUAAAAGAAAUUUACAUUUAUAAGGGACAUUUCCAACUUUAAUGGUGGUACCAGGAAGAGGGCUACUCCCAGAGAUAACUUUUAUCACCUGAGAGACUCUUUAUCUACAUAACAAGACAACCCUUAUUUACUGCCCACUUCUUCCUCUCAUUCCCAUAACUUGCCUCCCCCACUCAGAAGCCCAAAUCCUUUUUUCCUUUUGUUUAGCCUAAUAUAGUACAUAAAAUAAAAUAAAAAUAAAAUAGUAUAUAAACCUCUAUCAUCUGGUCUCCUAGGAUCUCAUUUUUUUUUUUAAUUCUAUUUUUGGCUUUUUUUUUUUUUUUAGGACCUCACCCUCAGCAUAUGGAAGUUCCCCGGCUAGGGGGUGAAUCUGGGCCAUAGCUCUGAGCCGUGUCUGCAACCUACACCACCAAACAUGGAAAAAAGUUCAGGGCAAUGCCAGAUCCUUAAGCCACUGAGCGAGGCCAGGGAUAGAACCAGCCUCCUCAUGGAUACUAGUUAGGUUCUUUACUCCUGAGCCAAAACGGCAACUCCUAGGGUCUCAUUUCUUCAUAGAAUUUCUAUGCAUACUUAGGUAAUGAAAACCGACCAGGUGUUUUUUUUUUUUUUUGGUUGUUAAUUUGUCUUUUCUCACUUUAAUUUCCAGGGCCCCAACAGGAGAAUCUUGCAGGGGAGAGGGAAACAUUUUUUUCUUUUCCUGAAUUAGAAUCAGCAGCUUUCCAGGUCCUCCCUGUCCGUCUCCACCUGCCUUCUGACCUGGGAGGCUGACCUGAGCGGCCUGAAUCAGCUCUUGGCUGAUGGGGCUCCAGGAAGGGGCAAGGAAUGUGAGGUGAGGGUCUUUGCUUGUGGCUUCCCUACUGGGUCUCUUUUUUUUUUUUUUUUUUUUUUUUUUUUUUNUUUUUUUGUCUUUUUUUGUCUUUUUGUUGUUGUUGUUGCCAUUUCUUGGGCCGCUCCCGCGGCAUAUGGAGGUUCCCAGGCUAGGGGUCCAAUCGGAGCUGUAGCCACCAGCCUACGUCAGAGCCACAGCAACACGGGAUCCGAGCCGCGUCUGCAACCUACACCACAGCUCACGGCAACGCCAGAUCGUUAACCCACUGAGCAAGGGCAGGGACUGAACCCGCAACCUCAUGGUUCCUAGUCGGAUUCGUUAACCACUUCGCCAUGACGGGAACUCCCCUACUGGGUCUCUUAAAGCUGGCAGGAUCCCUGCAUACAAGAAAGAUCCCAACUCCUCUCCAGGAGAGCUUCGCCAGGCAGCUUUUUUUGAGUUCCUCUCUCUGGGUUUUGUUAACCAUUCUCUCACUCACCUCUUAAGGCCCAGGCCACCGCGCCCUCCUGACCCCUUCCUCUGUCCGUCCCUCACUUUGGUACAGAAUCUUUACUUAAUCUGUUGGGACUCUCCUAAUUGGAGCGAGCCAUCUGUUUCCUGUUUCCUGCUGCGAUGUGUCUGACUCAACUCGACACACACUCUUAAUAGAGGCAACCAGAUUGUCACCAGACUGUAGUUGGAAUGAUUUGCUCUGUUGAUCCUGGUGGCUGAACAGCCCAGAUAUACUGGUCUGGCUGACAGGCUCACUGCUCCUGUUUUCAUCACCACAUGGCCCAGCAGCCUCUCAAUUCCCCAUCCCAAGGAAAAAGAAACUUCACGGAUGAACUUAGGGGAACAGUCAUCCUCAGGGGCUUACGAACUGAAACAGUUUGCUUGCUUGCUUUUAAAGUUCAGAUUUGUAUCUCACAAAAACCCUCAUGUUAAAUAAGCGUCUGUGCCAAAGCUAUUUUUAAUAACAGCAUGGGCUGGCGUUCCCACUGCGGCACAGUAGGUUAGGAAUCCAACUGCAGGUGCUCGGGUCACCACGGAGGCGCAGGUUUGAUGACUGGCUUGUGCGGUGGGUUAAAAGAUCCCACAGUGGGUUAAAGGUUGCUGCAGCUGCAGUGUUGGUCACAGCUCUGGCUCAGAUGUAGUCUCUGGCCUGGGAACUCCUAUAUGCUGCAGGUGAGGCCAUUACAAAAAAAAUAGUGUAAGUAGAUGGCGUAAGAGCUAGAUGUGUAUUUCUCCUUGGUGCAUUUUCAAUGCCCAGCAGGCUAUGGAUGAAAUCAUGGCUCUGGUAAUCACACCUUUAAAAUAAAAAAGAGUUUGGAGUUCCCUGAUGCGCUAGC